UACGUAGGGUGCAAGCGUUGUCCGGAAUUAUUGGGCGUAAAGAGCUCGUAGGCGGUCUGUCGCGUCUGCUGUGAAAACUCAGGGCUUAACCCUGAGCUUGCAGUGGGUACGGGCAGACUAGAGUGCGGUAGGGGAGACUGGAAUUCCUGGUGUAGCGGUGAAAUGCGUAGAUAUCAGGAGGAACACCGGUGGCGAAGGCGGCUACCUGGACAGAAACUGACGCUGAGGCGCGAAAGCUAGGGGAGCAAACAGG
rnacentral:rRNA from 1 species